GACGAACGCUGGCGGCGUGCUUAACACAUGCAAGUCGAACGGAAAGGCCCUGCUUUUGUGGGGUGCUCGAGUGGCGAACGGGUGAGUAACACGUGAGUAACCUGCCCUUGACUUUGGGAUAACUUCAGGAAACUGGGGCUAAUACCGGAUAGGAGCUCCUGCUGCAUGGUGGGGGUUGGAAAGUUUCGGCGGUUGGGGAUGGACUCGCGGCUCAUCAGCUUGUUGGUGGGGUAGUGGCUUACCAAGGUUUUGACGGGUAGCCGGCCUGAGAGGGUGACCGGCCACAUUGGGACGGAGAUACGGCCCAGACUCCUACGGGAGGCAGCAGUGGGGAAUAUUGCACAAUGGGCGGAAGCCUGAUGCAGCAACGCCGCGUGCGGGAUGACGGCCUUCGGGUGGUAAACCGCUUUCGCCUGUGACGAAGCGUGAGUGACGGUAAUGGGGAAAGAAGCACCGGCUAACUACGU
rnacentral:rRNA from 1 species